rnacentral:rRNA from 1 species
AUUGAACGCUGGCGGCAGGCCUAACACAUGCAAGUCGAGCGGAUGAGAGGAGCUUGCUCCUCGAUUCAGCGGCGGACGGGUGAGUAAUGCCUAGGAAUCUGCCUAGUAGUGGGGGACAACGUUUCGAAAGGAACGCUAAUACCGCAUACGUCCUACGGGAGAAAGUGGGGGAUCUUCGGACCUCACGCUAUUAGAUGAGCCUAGGUCGGAUUAGCUAGGUGGUAGGGUAAAGGCCUACCAAGGCGACGAUCCGUAACUGGUCGGAGAGGAUGAUAAGUCACACUGGAACUUAGACACGGUCCAGACUCGGACGGGCGGCAGAAGUGGGGAAUAUUGGACAAUGGGCGCAAGCCUGAUCCAGCCAUGCCGCGGGUGUGAAGAAGGCCUUCGGGUCGUAAAGCACUUUAAGUUGGGAGGAAGGGCUCAUAGCGAAUACCUGUGAGUUUUGACGUUACCAACAGAAUAAGCACCGGCUAACUUCGUGCCAGCCGCCGCCGUAA